rnacentral:rRNA from 1 species
CAGGACGAACGCUGGCGGCGUGCCUAAUACAUGCAAGUCGAACGCACUGACGUCGACAGAAGGUGCUUGCACUGGAAGUUGAUUGACGUGAGUGGCGGACGGGUGAGUAACACGUGGGUAACCUGCCCUUAAGCGGGGGAUAACAUUUGGAAACAGAUGCUAAUACCGCAUAAAAGUUGAGAUCACAUGGUCUUAAUUUGAAAGACGGCCUUUGGCUGUCACUUAAGGAUGGACCCGCGGCGUAUUAGCUAGUUGGUGAGAUAAUAGCCCACCAAGGCGAUGAUACGUAGCCGACCUGAGAGGGUAAUCGGCCACAUUGGGACUGAGACACGGCCCAAACUCCUACGGGAGGCAGCAGUAGGGAAUCUUCCACAAUGGACGAAAGUCUGAUGGAACAACGCCGCGUGAGUGAAGAAGGUUUUCGGAUCGUAAAACUCUGUUGUUGGAGAAGAACAGGGACUAGAGUAACUGUUAGUCCUUUGACGGUAUCCAACCAGAAAGCCACGGCUAACUACGUGCCAGCAGCCGCGGUAAUACGUAGGUGGCAAGCGUUGUCCGGAUUUAUUGGGCGUAAAGCGAGCGCAGGCGGUUUCUUAAGUCUGAUGUGAAAGCCUUCGGCUUAACCGAAGAAGUGCAUCAGAUACUGGGAAACUUGAGUGCAGAAGAGGAAAGUGGAACUCCAUGUGUAGCGGUGAAAUGCGUAGAUAUAUGGAAGAACACCAGUGGCGAAGGCGGCUUUCUGGUCUGUAACUGACGCUGAGGCUCGAAAGUAUGGGGAGCGAACAGGAUUAGAUACCCUGGUAGUCCAUACCGUAAACGAUGAAUGCUAAGUGUUGGAGGGUUUCCGCCCUUCAGUGCUGCAGCUAACGCAUUAAGCAUUCCGCCUGGGGAGUACGACCGCAAGGUUGAAACUCAAAGGAAUUGACGGGGGCCCGCACAAGCGGUGGAGCAUGUGGUUUAAUUCGAAGCUACGCGAAGAACCUUACCAGGUCUUGACAUCUAGCGCCAAUCCUAGAGAUAGGACGUUCCCUUCGGGGACGCUAAGACAGGUGGUGCAUGGUUGUCGUCAGCUCGUGUCGUGAGAUGUUGGGUUAAGUCCCGCAACGAGCGCAACCCUUAUGAUUAGUUGCCAGCAUUUAGUUGGGCACUCUAAUCAGACUGCCGGUGACAAAC